GGGACACGUGGUAUCCUGUCUGAAUAUGGGGGGACCAUCCUCCAAGGCUAAAUACUCCUGACUGACCGAUAGUGAACCAGUACCGUGAGGGAAAGGCGAAAAGAACCCCGGCGAGGGGAGUGAAAAAGAACCUGAAACCGUGUACGUACAAGCAGUGGGAGCACCUUCGGGUGUGACUGCGUACCUUUUGUAUAAUGGGUCAGCGACUUAUAUUCUGUAGCAAGGUUAACCGUAUAGGGGAGCCGCAGGGAAACCGAGUCUUAACUGGGCGUUAAGUUGCAGGGUAUAGACCCGAAACCCGGUGAUCUAGCCAUGGGCAGGUUGAAGGUUGGGUAACACUAACUGGAGGACCGAACCGACUAAUGUUGAAAAAUUAGCGGAUGACUUGUGGCUGGGGGUGAAAGGCCAAUCAAACCGGGAGAUAGCUGGUUCUCCCCGAAAGCUAUUUAGGUAGCGCCUCGUGAAUUCAUCUUCGGGGGUAGAGCACUGUUUCGGCUAGGGGGUCAUCCCGACUUACCAACCCGAUGCAAACUACGAAUACCGAAGAAUGUUAUCACGGGAGACACACGGCGGGUGCUAACGUCCGUCGUGAAGAGGGAAACAACCCAGACCGCCAGCUAAGGUCCCAAAGUCAUGGUUAAGUGGGAAACGAUGUGGGAAGGCACAGACAGCCAGGAUGUUGGCUUAGAAGCAGCCAUCAUUUAAAGAAAGCGUAAUAGCUCACUGGUCGAGUCGGCCUGCGCGGAAGAUGUAACGGGGCUAAACCAUGCACCGAAGCUGCGGCAGCGACACUAUGUGUUGUUGGGUAGGGGAGCGUUCUGUAAGCCUGCGAAGGUGUGCUGUGAGGCAUGCUGGAGGUAUCAGAAGUGCGAAUGCUGACAUAAGUAACGAUAAAGCGGGUGAAAAGCCCGCUCGCCGGAAGACCAAGGGUUCCUGUCCAACGUUAAUCGGGGCAGGGUGAGUCGACCCCUAAGGCGAGGCCGAAAGGCGUAGUCGAUGGG
rnacentral:rRNA from 1 species